GCUUGCAGACUGCAGAUGAGAGUCUGGAGCCGAGACAGUUUUAACUUAGCCAUUCCUAAUUUAUCUCAAGCGUUUUCAAUUCAUCUCCACUGCUCUGUGCACACAGGAACACCAGAUUGCCUUCCCUGGGGAACAGAAUGCAACCGGGGAUCUAGAGAGCUGUCACAGUCCAAGAAAUAUUUAAAUUGUGCUGGUUUUCUUCUGGAGAGCUGAGCCCAGGGAAUGAAACUCUCCAUCCAGUCGUAGCUUUGCGGGCAAUAGAUCAGAGGAUAUUGCCAGGUUCCUAAUGGAUUAUUGUUAUCGGGCAGGUUUUCUCUGAAGAGUUCCGAUGUCUCCCAGAUCCUAGACCAGAGGAACUGGAGAUCAGCCAGAUCAGCUGUGCACACAAAGCCAUUUUGGCUCUGUCUUUUCAAACAAGAACUCCACAAAAUGCUACAGCAAGGUUGAAGCAUUAGUCUGUUCUGGGGAAGAACAUCAUCAAAUUGAUCUUCUGUUUGUGAUGAACUUUCAGUAAACUCGCAAGUUCUCCCAGCAGUUUAGAAGACAAAGAAAGGAGAAGCAUCUUCAUUUACAAGUAA